GAGCAUCUAGGGCGGAACAGACAACCGCCACCUUUAGUAUGGAUAUGUGGGGAAUCGCCGUCCCACCGGUGUUA
rnacentral:ncRNA from 1 species